AUACGUAGGGAGCAAGCGUUGUCCGGAAUUACUGGGCGUAAAGGGUGCGUAGGUGGCUUGACAAGUCAGAUGUGAAAGACCGGGGCUUAACCCCGGGGUUGCAUUUGAAACUGUUGAGCUUGAGUGCAGGAGAGGGAAGUGGAAUUCCUAGUGUAGCGGUGAAAUGCGUAGAUAUUAGGAGGAACACCGGUGGCGAAGGCGGCUUUCUGGACUGCAACUGACACUGAGGCACGAAAGCGUGGGGAGCAAACAGGAUUAGAUACCCUGGUAGUCCACGCCGUAAACGAUGGAUACUAGGUGUGGGGCCCGAUAGGGUUCCGUGCCGAAGCAAACGCAUUAAGUAUCCCGCCUGGGGAGUACGAUCGCAAGGUUGAA
rnacentral:rRNA from 1 species